CUCCUCUAACCAUCCAAUUUAAAUGGCAGCCUCUCUCCUUGCCAUCUCUCUCCAUUUCCCUGACUCUGCCCCACUUGUUCAUGUUCAAGGCCCCUCUGUCUCUACACCCCAAUGUGUGGCACCGUCCGAGCUGAGGUGUGUCCUUGCUUAUGUUAGUAGAUGGGAAAACCAUCAGAUACCGGCCUCUGCUUCUCUCCUGGGACUCUGGCCUCGUCUACAUCCAGGCCUGCACCUGGAUAACUCUUUUUUCCCAGUACUGGAGAUCAAACCCAAGACCUCAUUCAGAAUGCUUCACAGCAGCCCUGCUCUGGAUAUACAUAGGACUCUCUCAUCAAUUUUCCCAAUCAAAAGUGUUUUCAAUCAUUGCUGUAUUGAGAUAUCCUGUGGGGCAAAAUCACCCCAGAUGAGAAUACUGGCCAGGAGAGACUUUAGACUCAUCUCUUGAGGACCUAGAACCCACCUAUGUGCAGGAGAGUUGGGUGAUAUGAGGUGGAUCAGAGAUUGUGUUCCAAAGCUUAACCAGGAAGAUGUACCUGCCAAAAUGCCAAGGAACUUUAAUUACUACAUUUAAAAUGAAGAUUCAGAAACAAUAAGAGCAUUAAGACAGAACCUGCAGGAGGAAAGGCUUUCAGUUUUGGGACCAUUGUGCCAUGGAUAUGUAACUGAAAGGAACUUCAGUCUUCCAGCUCCUUCAUCUUUUUCCACAAGUGAAGAAACUGAACAGUAUUAAAUAACUAGAUUAAGUAAUGUUGUUAUUUAAUGUUACAACUAAGACAAUAAAGAUCUGCUUUAUGCAUCCUGCACUCAUGAUCUCUGUGAUUCUGAGGUGUUCCUAGGUCACUGCUCACGGCCUUAUUAGCACUCUACUCCCCCGCCAAACCCAGUACAAUUGCCCCUCCAUUACUUAGAAACUGUGUUGUGCUUUUUGUGUAAUGUCCUCCACUCUUCACAUUCUACUGUCUCCUAUCUCUAAGUUAUUAAGCAUGCCCAUUUAAGAAUAUUCUUGCAUUCUUUCUACCAAACCACACCUAUUUUACUAAAUAUUCUGUUUCAGAUUUGUCACAAACAUACUCCUCCUCACUUUUCCUCACUCUAAUCUUCCCUCUACCUUUCUUAAAUAACAUGUAUCCUUCCCUUAACACAAUUUAAAACUAUUAUUUCACACAUUCAUCAGCUAGGUUUCUUUCUACUACAAUUAAACAAAAGCCAAAAUAACAGCAACUUAAACCAUUAGAGCAUCUAGUGUUUACCUAAAAAGGACUCUAGAGGUAGAACUGCUCCUGAGAGACAACAAAUCAGAUUAGAUCCAAAACUAUUUUAUGGUUUCUGUUGUGGCAGAAACCAAUCCGAUUUCUGUCAGUCUGGGCUGAGUUAGUAAUUGAAAACACCUAACUGAAGAGGAAGACGUGUGGGCAGAAGCAACCAGCAGGCAGAUCCUGUCAGAACUGGGGAUAAUAGUUACCAACCUAGUCAGAUAAGCUAUUACAAAGACUUUGCAACAACCGGGUCCCCUAGACAUAACAGGGAAUACAUCUGUUUUCCAUGAAAAUCAGGUGGACUACUUUGGGGGUAAAGGGCUGGGACUUUAACUGUUAUUCAUUUAACACACAUCCAAUUACUCUUCCAGCCAGUCUAGCCUUUGGAGUUCAGGAUAUUGACAAUUAAAGACUAUCCUUUUCCUCAAGCUCAUACUCUGGUUGAGAAAGCAGACACAUAAAUAAUUACAGUUCCACAAAAUGUAUAUUCUAAUAGUUGUAUGUAAAACUCUAUGAAAACCACUGCAGACAGCAAUUAAUUCUGCCCAAAAGUGUCAGAGCAGGUGACUUCUAAGAAGGGAGAGAGGCAUUCCAGAGACCCAGAGAACACACUAGAACAUGAAUGUGGUGGCAUGAAAGAACACAUAAUUUUCAGUAAAAAGGAGGAUUAUGUACCUGGAAUGUAAUGAAAACAUGUGUAAGGUUGGGGAUGGGAAGAUGACUCUUAAUAAAAUGGUACAGUUAACAGACUUUCAGAAGCAGAAUAGAAGGUGACUAAGGAAUUGAGAAAAUAAGACAAGGAUGCAAGUGAACAUGAUGAAUCCGAUUAACUGUGGGUAAAGAUAUGGAGAAAGUGAAUUCAAAUGAGAAACUCAAGACUACAGGGGUUGAUACUUCAAGGUAUAUGUUUGGGUAGGUAAUUGACACUGACAAGUCAAUAUGUUUGCCCUUCUUGGACUGGCAGGAAGUGACUUGAACAAGACGUUCAUAGGAGGAACAUAUCUCUUGGUACAGCUCUGCUUAGUCACCCUCCUUCCUUGAGAUUCGGUCUCUGGGAGAAGGAAAUCCCCAUCAUGGAGCAUACAGGGGAGCAUCUCAUGUAUCUACUUCACAUCUCUAAGACCUUUGUUAAAUUGUAAAAGAUUUCACAGCUUGCUCCGUGUGGCUUUUGUGUUUGAGGGCCUGAUCACUGCUUUGGUAAAGGAGCUUAUAGAACUAGAAAUCAAAAUUUUAGUGGUCCUUCUUUUGACAUCUCUUUCUCAUUCUUUCUUUCCUUAUGAUUUGCAGUUUGGGGCCAUCAAGCCCAGAUAAAGCCCAGAUCAAGCCCAGAUCAUAGGUUUUUAUUUUCUGCUAGCAUAUAUAGUAAUGGGAAUCUCCAAGUUGCAAAGAGUGUGAUAUAUAUAAUGAUAUAUAUAUUUUUUUCUGGAGUAAUUAUAAUUUUGAACACUGCAUUUUUAUAUACCAAACUUAUAUACCCAAAUUUCC
ensembl:lncRNA